UUCCCCCACACAACAUGUCACACAUUUCCACCACACUCUCCAUCAAAAAAGUAGACAAAAAGAAAAUAAAAAAAUCUUUGAGAACAUCGGAUCAAGUGUAAAAUAGAAGAUUAUUUAAUUUUUUUAUUCGGGCAAAAGUAUUUCAGAAAAAAAGAAGCAAGCAACCUCUUGCAAGAAAAGAAUUCACAACAAUAAUAAGAAAAAAAAUCACGAAGUUUCUACGAAAACGACUUAAAAAUUAUAAAAAUAAUACAAGUUCAAACGAAAUUACAUAAAAUUUAAUGCAAAAUACAAGUGAAAAAGCUAAAAAUUAUUAAAUUUAUUAUAGAUUAUAAGCUAACACAUAAAAAAACAAAAGCAAAUCCUUAAAAACGGGUUAAGUUAAUUACAACAAAAUGAAUACUUUCGU